UACGGAGGAUUCAAGCGUUAUCCGGAUUUAUUGGGCUUAAAGGGUGCGUAGGCGGUCGGAUAAGUUAGAGGUAAAAUCCCGGGGCUCAACUUCGGAAUUGCCUCUGAUACUGUUCGGCUAGAGAGUAGUUGCGGUAGGCGGAAUGUAUGGUGUAGCGGUGAAAUGCUUAGAGAUCAUACAGAACACCGAUUGCGAAGGCAGCUUACCAAGCUACUUCUGACGUUGAGGCACGAAAGCGUGGGGAGCAAACAGG
rnacentral:rRNA from 1 species